CGGAUCCAAUUUGCCGACUUCCCUUACCUACAUUAAUCUAUCGACUAGAGGCUCUUUACCUUGGAGACCUGCUGCGGAUAUGGGUACGAACCGGCGCGACACCUCCACGUGGCCCUCUCCUGGAUUUUCAAGGUCCGAGGGGAAGAUCCGGACACCGCCGCAACUGCUCUUCGCGUUCUAAACCCUAUCUCCCUGCUAGAGGUUUCCAGGGAACUCGAACGCUUAUACAGAAAAGAAAACUCUUCUCGGAUCUCUCGAUGGCGUCUCCAGGUCAUUUUGGAUUACUCCGACAAACACUCUUACGAGGGCCCGAAUGGUAUGCGGUUCCGCUGCCGAGUUCCGAAAUAAGAACCGGAUUCCCUUUCGCCCAAUAGGGCUUAUAAUCGACUGACUCGAUUGCAACGGCUGUUCACAUGAAACCCUUCUCCACGUUAGUCCUCCAGUGCCUCGCUGGAGUAUUUGCUGCUAGCAUCAAAAUCUGUACCGACGGCGGCUUUUAUACGCUCUUUUAUUUCAUGCAUAUUGGCAGACGAGGAAUUUUCGUAUGGACAACAGUCGGCUUAGCGUGGAGGUACUUUAUCAUUCCCAUCAAUCAUGAUGCUCGCUUCCCAAUCUCGAUUGUACCAACGAGUAACAUUUUAUUUACAUCCUGACGCAAAAUCCCAAUGAGUCAAGCUCAGUCUCUUCUUUUCUUUGUACGAUGACUACAGCUGGAGAGAAAAAAUAAAAAGAAAAAGCUUCCGUUGACAAUUCUAGCUGUUCCUGCUUUUUUAAAACCUCCGUUUUCUCAUCUGUAUUGAGAUCAAAAUCACCGAUGCAUGCCUUCAAAGCUCAAUCCGAUUACAAUAUCCUAAUCCAUCAAAGAAGAUGAACAGGCCGGAAAUGAUAUGUUGGAACGUGCAUUAGUCUCUUUACUGCUGUACAAGAAAAAAAAUAAAAGAAAAUGAGAUAAAGUGAAACUCACGCAAGGAAAUACAUCAUGUAUCCGGGGACUGGAGGACUGAGAUAGACAUGCGAUCCGGCAUAACGAAAAAGGCAUGGGAUGAUCAACACUAGAUUUAGGAAUUUCUCCUCGGCGCGGAGAUGCCAUAAUUUGUUAUCUCGAAAAGGAAAAAAAAAAAAGAGAGAAAAAGGAA